rnacentral:tRNA from 1 species
AUAAAUUUAGUUAAUAUAUAACAUUACAUUGUCAAUGUAAAAUAAUUAAUAUAAUAAUUUAUU